AUGGUGCGGGGGGGUGGGGGGGCACACUGGGCACGUGCUUAGGAUGUGUCACAAGUGGUGUUUGCGAUACACCAGACUCAUGACAGACCUAUGACGUCUGAAAAUGACCAAUAUUCUAUUCAUUAGCAGGAGUAUUCUAACAUUCAUGAAAAACAAGGAUGAACUGUGGCUUGUUUUUUUGCUUAAAUCUAAAAAUUGAAGUUAGUUUAGCAGUUGACUGUUUCAGUCAUUUGGAUGUUUUGCAUGCAUUUCACUAGGAAGACUAAGAGCUAAGACUUUUUUAUUGCCAUUGCCUUGACUGUCUUGAUGUUGUUUUGCACCAUGUCCUUGUGUUGACUUUUGCAUACGAUAUUUUUCAGGCACCCGCUUUAUAUAAUGCAAGAAGGCAGCUGCAAGGACACGAGGAUGUGAAAGAGCCAAUGCAGCGCGACUUCACGUAGUGUAGAGGAGCCAAUGCCAAAAAAUCAAAAUACAUUGGCAUGUUAUUUGGACAAGAAAACUAGUAUGUGGGUAUAUUGGGUGUACCAUUUGACCAAAUGUCAACAAAAUCAAGAUACAGUAUGUUACACGAAGAUGAAAAUUCUCACGUGCUCCAGGCAGUCAUCUUAACAUGGUAUAUUUAUGUAAUGUCUCUGAUUGGAAAGUCAAAUCAAGUAUGCUCACUGGAGACAAACACAUAGCAGCAAGUGUCAUUGAAAAGUUAAAAAUGUGUUUUAAGAAAGCUGAUUAGUUCUGAGAAGUGACUGCUUUUUGUCUUGCCUCUCAACACAUAUAUCCAUGUGAUAAAAAAAUAGUGGUACAAUGAAAUUGCAUAUUUGCUUAGCGACAUGAUACAUACUUGCAAUGAGCACGGUGCCUGUGUUUACUAUAGAAAGCAACAGCCCAUGCUUGGUUAGGUUAGGCCCACUACAACAUGCAGGCAUGGGUGAUUGGCGCUUUUUUUAUUUCUGUAUCGUGAGGUUUAUUGACGUGCGUAUAGGUGCAGUGGCACGCAGUAUGGCUAGUACAAAAAAGGGGGGGGGGCAGAUAUAUGUAGCUCACUGUACACGAUACAGGGCAAAGGAAAUCCGUGUUCAGCAACUAUGUUAAAUGCCAUGUACGUAAAUUUUACAACGCUACUCGUUCGAAGCGCGCACAGGUGCAUAUUGAAGAAAAGUUUCCAGGGUAGAUAAUUUAGUUCGUAAUUUACACUAAUUUUGCUCUAACCACGAGACAUAAUAAUUUGAAUAUACUGCACGGAAAAACCUAGAGCGAAUUAAAUUGUGUGUCAGCUUCGUGUGUAUACAUAUAGUCUUCCCUAUGCAUUAGGUUUUUUGCGUAAUGCAUUAACAGUUGACAGCCUAUCUUAUGAUGUGUACUCUGUUUACAUUACAGUUGUUUAUUAGUUUACUCGUUUGUUUUGCGACUGAUGAAAUGCCGGCAUAUAUAUAUUUUCAACAUCUGACAUAACCCUGUAUGUUUUGCAGGGACAACCCAGGACGUGCAUUUCUCAGCACCCAGUCAACUGCCAAAAGUGACUCAAACACAGGCCACCAGUGGAACUCGGCUGUACCACUGCAGUGCUGCGGAAAUUGCCUUCACCAGCGGCUUUGCAACAGCUGUUUCGCAGCAUGUCGAAGUGAGCCCGGUACCACUUGGAAGUUACCAUGACAGAUGACACGGCAGCAAUAGAUACAGAGACUGCCACGUCUACUGCAGCUGCAACAGUGUACGAGGCAAGCAGCAGCGCGUCAGCAGCAGUGUCAGAAGGAACCACACCAGGCCUGGUAGAGCAACAUGUGUGCUAUCACUGACUUUUUUUGUAGUGGAUACAACUCAUUUGCUCAACUUACAAAAGCUUUUCACCACGACUGUGAGCCAGUGUUAUUGUGCAGCAAGUGCAAGACUAAGUUAAGUGUUAUAACACAGUACAAGCAUCACUUUAACAUAUGAAAACAUAUUACAGUUGUUGCCUCCCAGCCAGCCCACAUAGCCACAACAAUGUUGAACACAUGGUGGGACACACAUCUUCUCCAUUAGAACAUAGUAGAGACUGUCAGUGUUGUUAGAUUAACUGGUCUUUGUAGGCAACUAGGACAACACAGGUGUCAUAAGAUUGUUGUUGAUGUUGUUGUUGAAGAGGUAAAAAAGAAGUUUGAUGCAGCUGAAGUGCCAACUGAUAUUGAGCAAAUCAAAAGCAACCACCUGAGAAAGCAACACUAUCGAAAUUUGGGUAUCUAUGUGCCGCCAACUCUGGUAAGAAUGGCAUAGGACAGAAGUGUGAUGAAAAUCACACAGACACUGCUGUUGCAUCACUGGCCACAGUGAGCAGCGACUUGUAGGGCAAGAGAGUCAACUGAAACUAACAUUAUGAUAUAGUGUCAUGCUCCCAUGUGACCACUUUUCAAGUUAUUUUGCAAGAUACAGCUCAACCUCCAGAAACGAGACUGCAAGUUGUCUGUAAAAAAGCUUUCACAAAAAAUUAUUCAUAACACUAUUAACAUAGCAGUAUUUUUUUUUUGUGUCGGUUCGAGGUUCCCGGCUGUCCAUUAAUGCAAAAAUUGAGGAAAAAAAGAACAUGUGUCGUACUUACACCUUUUUAACAAGUACGAGGGGGACAGAACUUUUCUAGUCAUGCAUCUUCAUCAUACUAUCAAGUUUUUAAAUGCCUUUUAUAAUUAUUAUUACCAGUUAUAUCUGAGUGCAUUGUAUGCAUGUAGCAGGUGUAAAAUCAGGUCAGUUGGAUCAGAUGCCUUAUCUGCAAGCGAGCCCUAUAUUCAAGAAAUUUGAAAUAAAAUAGUUACGUUAGAGACGCAGUCUUUCAGCACUUUAUUGCCUGUGGUUUAAGCAUUGCUCAAUACUUUUGUGGGUGGCAAUUUCAACCGGCACAGCACUGCGCUUUGCCACAGUCACAUUUGUCUUCAAAGCGGUGUUUACCAUUUGUGUUGAUCUGUUUGUGUAUGCAUAGAGCAAGUUUUUAAUUUAUAUUUUUCUGCAUUCUUGUGCUUGCACUAAGCUUGUAUAAGGCAGUUACAAAAUGUGCGGCACUAUAACGAACUGUUCUGUUGAGCUUACACUUGCAAAUAAUCGUGUUCAGAUGGCCGCACUUCUAUGCGGGUGCACCGCUAGCUUUGUGUAUGUUCUCAUGUUUGUAUAAAGCUUAUAUAAGCUAGUUAGAAAAUGUAUGUCACUAAGCAUUGUGAUAUUCUUUAAAGAACUGCUUGGUUGGUUUUACACUUGUGAAUUAGUAUUGAGGCGGUGGUAUUCCCAUGUAUGCCCACUGCUAGCUUUCUGUGUCCUCACGUGUUUGUAUUAAGUUUCUACAAGGGAGUUACAGCAUGUACGUCACUAAGCGCUGUGAUAUUUUUUAAAGAACUGCUUUGUUGGUUUUACACCUGUGAGUAAUAGUACUCGUGUGGCACUAGUCAUGUGUAGGUACACAGGGACCAUUUGUAUACAUUAUGCUCAUGUAAAGCAGUUACAAAGUGUAUGUCACUAAUUACUGUGAUAUUUGUUGAAUUGCUGUGAUGGUUUUACACAUGUGAAUAAUAGUGGUCAGGACACAGUACUUGCGGUGUAUAGUUGAAUUUAUACACUGCCAAGACAUGGGCUGUAUACGUACCAAAAGAAAUGUAUGUCAUUAUAUUGUUGUGAUUAUUACUGUUUGGAUUUUAUUAAACUGUAAUAAAAUUGUUUCUUGUAUCUA